ensembl:lncRNA
CUGGUCUUCCACAGCCCUCUGUGUGGAAUCCCUGCAGUGCAGAGCUUCAGACAGAAGCGUGCUGUCCCAGCGCUGACUGUGAUGAGUGAGGCAGAGAUGUACCCGAGGGAGGCAUGGGGCAGGAAAUUCAUGCUUGAAAUCUCUGUAGGCUAAAAAAGCGUACUCGGCCUGGUUAGAAAUCUGAGUUCCCAAGGCAGGCUGAAGAAAGCAAUGCCUUCACGACACGGCAGAAAGCCGUCCUGCCCCGAGGCUCUUCCUGAUGGAGCAGCAUCCCUACCCAUCGCCUGGUGCUCUGCGAGGGCUUCCAAUCGGAUCUGGCGGCUUUGUUCUGCUCGAUAGCGCCGUAAUGGGUCGUUUCUCCGACCUGCGCCGCGUGGGUAACAGAGGGGUCACGGAGGCUCCCACGUUAAGUCACCGGGGGUAGGAAUGAGACUCCAGAAGGCAGCUACACUGUUGCCAUUGAAGCCUGCUAGCCAGAGCUUCGCCAGCAGAGCUCAUUCGCUGGACUUCUUCCCCAGAGCACGUUUUUAUUCUCUUGUCGGCUUUUUGCUGCGUGUCUCUGUCUUUUUACGAGCAGCGCUGCAGGCUGUGCCCGUGACACUGCCUUCCAGCACCGCUCCUUCCGUCCGCACGGCUGCUCCGCGCACAUCUGCCUGCACUGAGCGUCGGGGGACGGAUUCCUUUCAGCUCCGUCCCUCCGAGAAAAAACAUUUUGCCUUCUACUGCCCUGAGAUGAAUGAACUACAGAUUACUCCCACCAAGUUGUACUGAAACACUCUUGUAAUGAUACAAAAUACUACAAAAUACUGCACUGAAAGAAACCGGCCAGGCGCCAUGUAUACCAAUUCAAGCAUGGAGAAAUGGAGGCUGCUCACCAGUGGCUGGGUCUGCAAGAGACACAGCGCUGAUGCUGGCAAGUUUCAUAGUAAUGACUACUACAGACAGCUCUGGGUAGAUUUGGUAGUGGAUAACAGGUCACCACAUAAUUCCUUCUCCAGUAGGGAUCGUCCAGAUGAAAUCAAUAGGAGUGAAGCUGCAUACAGUUGCAAGAACAAUUUUCAGGUACUGUGGAUCAUGGAUCUCUCAUUUUUUUCUGGAUAUUCAAAACAAAACAAAACAAAAAACAAAAAACAAACAAACAACAAACAAAAAACAACAACAAAAAAAAACGGAGGCUCUGAAAGCACCCCAGCCCCCCUGCUUCUCUCCUUAACUUCCUUGUGUCCUCAGCUGCAGUUAGGACUCUCAGGGGAGAACUUGUAUUCACUUAAUGCAGACUUGACUCAGCAAAAUGCGAUGAGGCACUGGCCAGACACUCCGUGAGUCCAUUUCAGAGAGCUAUGAGGGAACAGCCCCCUCUUCCUCCUCCUUAGGUGCCCCUGCAGAUUCCUGCUCCAGAAUCGGCUGGAUAACGGUACCAUUGGGUGAGUAGGGAACACUCCCAGAGAUGGGUGAGCUGCUUGCACGCAGAGCAGCUGACAGCCGGCUGCACGUCUGCUGCUCAGUAAAGACACGGUUGCAGCCUGACAGAGCAGCACUGAAAAUUUCAUAAUGGAAAAUGAUAACAAGGAGAUUGCCUUCAGCCUUGGGGAAUGUGAUCUAAUCCCAAAUGGGGGAGGCAUGCGGACAAACCUGACGCUCUUCUGCACAAACCUUAACCCUUAAGAUAUUAAGAUAUUUGGAUACAUAUCUUAACAGAUCUUAAGCUUUGUGGGUUAUUCUUAUUAUAUUUUAUGUUUAAUUAUUUUAUUAUUAAAUUGCUACUCAUUAUUUUGUGCAUAACGCUAAGCCAGUAAUUUCUUAAACUCUUUGGCUCUCUUCAGACAGGAAGGUUACGCUCACUUAGCAUCUAACACAGGAGUUUAGCUUUCAGCUGAUAGUACUUUGCAUCUUACUUCAAUAUGUUCUGAUUAAAUAUGGCAAGUUGAAAUAUUCCUUCUAAUACUGGAAUUAUGUUUUUCUUAUAAAAGGAUCCCAGGCGGCCAAGUAACAGAACAGAGGUCUCUGGCAGUGAAAUGAAUACUAAUUCAAAAACUGAAGAGUACUGUUUCUAAAUGGGAAAGAUUCAGAAAUGAUUGCAGUGUAUCGUCCUGAAAUAUAUAUUCUCAGGUUCCAGAUCAAUGACCAGAUAUUAAUUAAUCCCUAUGUUUUCUUUUGAGCUCAUAUCUACAGCUGGGAGGAAGUGCUUCAUAUGGUCUGGCCACACUGUCCAAGGAACACUGGAUCCCCUCAGAGAAGCAUGACCCUUCCCAUGACUUCUUGGAAAUGGUGGAUCUCUGUAAUGAAACUGCACAUUUACCUUUUAUAUACCAUCUAGGAAAACACAGCAAAAGCCAUAUGGCUCAAGAAGACAUCUCCUAUAAUUAGAUAUCACUUAGCACGGUACCUAAUUGUACGGAUGCAGAGCCUACAUCUGUUGGAACUGGGCGUAGCAUGAAAUGUCAAAUGCAGAUUUAGAUGCGAGUAGGACUGCAAAGGGGAAAUUAAGCAUCUUUGACAUUCUUUUAAUUGAGAGAGAAAGAACUUUCUGAUGAGUUUGUGAAGAUUCUGAUGGGGAAGAGCAAAUGUUUGAAGAAAUCUGAAUCUUUUCCCAGCAGGAAGGUGGAAUAAAAAGUACUUGGAGUACUUGUUACCUAUCUCCCCAUAUCACUCCCCCACAGAGCAGCAGAUUUCUACUCCUAGCUGGUAAAUAUAUUUUUAGUAGAUGCUGUUGGAACAAGAAGGUCCAAAUGAAUCCUCAAAUACUUUUCUUGGUUAAGGAAUUUCCCAUGUUGUGAUCUUGGCUAUUCUCUCAAAACAUUUGGGAAGCCAGCUCUGAUGAAUUAAAAGCAUCUGACCUGAUGUAUGACAUUCUAUAUACUCUAUGUCAAUUAAGUAAAAAAUUAAGUCAAACUUAAGCAUCUACCUGAAGCUGUCUGCCAUGGAAAUUCUUUGUUGUCGUCAUAGUAGGGAUUUGCAUAAGCUGUAUGGCUUGGGUUUAUUUUGAAUAAAGAGGAAAGAAGAACUAAGAGAUCACUGAGUACACAUCUUCUGAAAGCACAGAAUGAGAUGGGGUAAUGUUAUCAUGCUUGGAACUAAAACUCUGACUGAAAAGAGAAUCAUUAAUAUUUCCUUUCUGUGAAGCUGUCAUCCAUGUUGGAUAUAGCCAUAGCAGCUAAGAAUAACACUGGUCAGACAACUGGACAUGGUAACCUCUUCAGUCCCUUUCAAUAAAUAGGAGAAAGACCAAGCCUGCAGCUGCUGGUCCAGCACAGUACUUCUUAGCUGAGCCACUGCUGCUUGCAGUUUGCUGACACACCGGGAUCUGACAGCAGCCACGGCGGCAGCAAUCUCCUGGGGAGGGACGAGGGGGACAGCCACAGGCAUAACCAAGGGAUCAGGAAUCUAGGCCAAGCCCAUGACUUUGUGACCUUCCUAAUCUUUAAAAAUAGCUUUAUGCAUGUGUGUGUAUACAAGCGUAUGCUAUGUAAUGACAGAUAUACGCUACAAAUGUUAUAUGAAAUUGCUCUGCAUGUUAUUUAAUGCCCUGAAAUGCAGGAAAAGCCAGUGCAGGAGAGACAUGCUGAGCUCUUGUGUGGUAGGACAUGGGAAACAGCAGUGAGCAGCAAGAAAAAGAACGCACAGCAGAACUUACAUAACGUUCCCUUUUCAGUUCAGCUAUGGGUUUUGCUCUAGCACAUCUGGUGAUCCCUGGCUGGCUGGAUACCGUUUAGUAUUUUCUUCUACUCAUGAAGAACGGCCUGUUUGUGGAAUCUGGCACUUCAGUCUAGGCUGUCUCAGCAACGGACAGGUCUGUCUGUUGUUUUUAUUCUCCAGUCUUGCCCGAGUCAACAGAGCAGGUAAUCCUUAACUAUACCACAGGAAAGUGACUGUGAAAAGAGCACCAAAAAUGUUUGUUUAGGAUUCAUAUCAGCAUGCAUCCUUUUGAGAAGAAUGGAGACCCGAGCAAUGUUUAUGUCCUUAAAAUGCAUUUUCAGGGGCUGUAAAACUAAUGUAGUGCAUCUCCAUUAAAGAGAAAAUGUGACUGAUUCUGAUUGACUCAGACUGAGACUACAUUGUAGUUAAAAUGCCUCAGAACAAACUCUGAAAAACAGCUGCUUGUAAGUUGUUUUUUUCACACCAGACGAAUUAACAGCAGAUGCAAACAUCUUUCAGACCUUCUGGAAGUAACAUUGAAGCAACCAACAGUGUUAAGACUAAAAAUGUCAGAGACCCUAUAAAUACUCUUUAGGAGCAGAGCAGUCUUUACAGAACAAUCAUCAACAAAAGAUAAAACAGUCUAAGGUUAAACACACAAGUAUAGAAGUCCUGCAUUCAAGGUGAAGAGUGCUAUUGUAGUGAAGAGCUUUUUUAAUUUGCCAAUUAAUCUUGCUUGUAAAAUCAGCAAUUAAUCCUGUGAAAUUCUUGUCAUUAUUCAGAAUAAAUGGCAUGGCACUGAAGUAGCGUUAUUAAUAACAACCAAGCAAAUCUCUUCUAGCCUCCUUGUCAAGAUGCUGCAACGAUGAAUCCAAAAUACAAGCACAUCUGGCUGCAGGAACAAACAUCAAGUUUUUAAUUAUACAUCUUUGUGGGAAAAGGUUUUCACAGUUAACCUCCCUUAAGAAUGUCCAAAUGUUUUAUAAAGACUUGAAUGGAUUACAAAUACUAAAAACAAGAACAUUUUUAAAGGUAUAACAAAGGCUUUUGUUGCUUUUGAUGUUGUGUGAUACAUGAUAGGAGGUAAAAAUCCACAGAUAUAUGGCCUUAUCAGGGAACAGUGUUUAAAGAUACUACGCAAAAAUGACAUUAAUUGCAAGCAAGGCAACAAAUUGCAGGACUUUUCACCCUACAACACUGAGAGUAAAAGUUGGAGCUAACUUAAUUACACAGAGAGAUGAAGUCAUCUCCAUAAACCUCAAUAAUGUCAUGACAGGAAACCCAUGAUGCUGACUGGACUGAUGUCAAGAACAGGAGAACCUACGUGAGAUGCCUGCAAGGUGUACAGCUGUAGGUGCCUCACGCUCUGCUGACAAGAUCCCUACCAGCUCCAAAGGCAGACUGAAGUGACUGUAGAGGGCUUUACAUGUGAGCUGGAGGCAGGCACCACUGGAAAGAGUCUGGCUCCAUUGCCUUUGCAUCCUCCCCUCCAGUAUUUAUGGACAUUGGUAAGAUCUUCCCCCCCACUUCCUUCUGGUCACCCCUGCACCUUUCUAGCUCUUCACCUGACCUAACCUGCAGAGCACCUGCAGAGCUUCAAGCAACGCUGUUCUCUACCUGUCCCCCACCUGGUUUGGGGCAUGCAGAAGAUGUCUUGGAAAUGCUGGGUGUAAUUCAUCUUUCCUCUGGAAGCACAGUAGUCACUGAGUUCCUCUAGGAUAUUAAAACCCAAGGUUCAAUUCUAUCCUCUCGUCAAAGAAAGUUGAAUCAUCAGCACUCAUAAGCUGAUUCACCUCCCUAAAGACAAUGAAUGCUAUUUGUUUUCUAUAUCAUAAUUUAAAAUAGUCAUUGAACUGGAGAAAGAUUGUUUUAUAGCCCAGUGGCCAGAACAUUCAUCCAAGGGGUGAGAGGAGCAGAGGGUAUUUCAUAGUACUUCUCUUGAGAUGACGCAGUCCUUGUCCUUCCUUUACUUACACUGUCAGACCACACCAAUAUGCGAGUACGAGAGUUCUUCAGAACUCCUCAGGCCCAGUGACAAAGGAUAUUGUCUGCCAUGGACAUUUCCAUUCAAACAAUAAGAAGGAUCUGAUAAAGGGAAUUUUCAAACCUCUGGGGUCUCGGAAACCACAGGACCACCUCUGCAUGCUCUGAUCUAAGCUUUUAAUACUUGGGUUACACAAACGUUUUCAAUUUGAUUCCGUAUAGAAUCGUUUAGCUUUUUAUUUCCAUGAGGGAAAAAAACAUAAUUAUUUGGAUGGAUCUGAACUACUUUUUUCCGUGUUUGAUUUUGCAACCAAAAAAUUCCUGAUAUGCAUAACACAUGAGAACUAUAAUUGCUUUCCAAUUCCUUAUCAGCACAUGAUCAUCCUCGCACUGAAACGCUACUCCCAGCUCCAGUACACCAACCUCCAACAUCUUUACACUAGGUUUUACACAGCUCUAAUGUGCCAAGGAUUUGAUCUGUGCAUUUGACUUUCAAUUAUAAUACUGUCCAUUGUAACACCAUAUGUCUGUAUCUACCAGACUGACCCUUAUGUUGCCAAAUAUGAGAAUCAGACCGAUUAAGUUGAGCUCACCAAUGCUUCAGCUCAAACUUCAGAGAGAAACUACUACAGUAUCUGUAUUUCUUCUUAUAGUAUUGAAUGACAAUUUGUUGAGAGCUUGUAAGCAAAAUUAGACUUCUACUUAUAUUCAUCGGCUUGAUUUAGUAGACUUAAUAUAUAUUCUCUUCUGGUUUCCUUUAUGUUAGUUCUGUAUAUUCAGAAUACAUGUUGCAAGCUCCAAAACCAUUACAGCUCCAAAACAACAGCUUCCCUGUAUGUACUGGUAAACAAUCCCUGCAGAAGUACUGCAUGCUUUGCAGUGACAAAAAAACAAAUGACAAACAAGACAUAACAGGUGAAUGGCAUCCAACAUUACCAUGCAUUAAAAAAGUGCAUGUAUAUAAGUAAGAAGAGAAUGCACUAAUAUAAUUAAGAAAUGGUCUUUUAACUUGGGAUUUAAAGAGCAGAGCGGGCCAGCUGUACAGAUAGCAAAAUGAAGAAGAGAACUCCACACGAGAGCCAAAUGAGCAAUCACACAAACCUGCGAGGCAGCAAACUGCACAGGGGGUGGGGAGCAGAACUAAAUCAGAAACAGAGAGUAUGUUGCAGAAGGAAAUAAACGUGAACCAUAUGGAAGAAUAUUCACAACACAUUAGUGUUUAAUUAGAUAAUAUAAUGGAUAAGGACACUUCUGCAGCGUCAUCAUAAACAAAGAUGAAUGGAAAAUGUGCUACUAAUAAAAACGGGUAAUGCAACUGCACUACAACUGUAAUUUGAUCAGUCACAAAUUUAAAAUAAAAAUAAUAUUUUGAUAUGAUAUUUUGCUACUGCAUCUAGUCGUAGAAAAGGAAGCACAGAAGCAGACAUUCUCAUCUGAGGUUCCAGAUACUUCAAAAGCAGAGCAAAAAAGUCCCCACAACUGCUUGCAAUCUGGCCCUUGCACCCAGACUGGCAUCCCCAUGUCAUUGUGAACACACACAGGGCGCCUUUUGGAGAAAAAGCAUGGAACGGCCCUUCCAAUUUUCUUCCUCUUCUAAACUAUGACUUAACUGCGUG